rnacentral:lncRNA from 1 species
CGUUUGUCACACUGUGUGGAGGAAUAGCAGUGUCUGACACAGGCCUCGGCACCCUGAAAUCCCUUGCCCAGGAGGAGAAGGGGAAGAAAAGGCUGCACAGGAGAGGCCAGGACAGACUCAGGGUUCUGGGUUGUGUCUCCAAAAGCCUUUGUCCCCCAUGGAAGGGGCCUGUGCCGCGUGUCCCCGAGCGCAGCGGAGAUCUGUCACUCGGGAUGUUCCCAUGGGAGCUCAGAGCCUGGCACAGGCUGCAGACAGCGCACAGCGGUCACUGCCACCCAUUCCUGCCAAAAUCCCUGCACAAAGGAGGUGGAAGAGCCAGCGGGCGUCGAUUUUGGAUGGGAACCCUCAGCUGAGCUUAUUUCUCCAGAUCUCCAGGCUGAGCUGGUGUCACCAGGAGGACGUGGCCUCUUCCAGACCUUUCCUGCUCCCAGGUGUGGGUGGUGGCACAGGCUGGGCAAGGAAAAGCUGGGAAAAGUGGGAAAAGCGGCACGUGGAGACCCUCAUCAGCCUAAAACCAGGCCAGGCCACGUGGUCAGACAGAUGUGACCCUCCUGGUGACCCUGAGGCCACACUGAGCAUGGCAAAGGACACAAAGGGACAAGGAGAAUGUCCCACUUGUGCCUCAAACCUGCCUGAAAGCCACGAGUCCACCUCCCUCGCCACUUCACCGGGCUCUGAAGGGAAUUCCUGAUGGGAAUUCCUCUAUUUGAGACCACAGGGAAACCAGGAAAAAUAGCCCAGCAGGAGCCAGUGCUUAGCUAAAGCCGCCUGCUAAAUCAAGUGGUCUUUAAGGGUUUAGUGAGGCUCUUCCCCCCCAUCCCCAGGGCUGGGGCUCUCCUGUCCCCUGGGUGUCACUCCGGGUGACAGACAUGCGGAGCUGGCAGCAGCACGGAGCUCUGGCUCCCACACAAAGUCCUGCUCGGUUUGGCAGAGGGCUGGAUGUGUAUUUAUUAAAAAAAAAGAAAAAAAAAAAGAAAAAAGGAAAUAAAACAACAGCGAGAUGGGAGGAUUUGGUGCUC